GAUGAACGCUGGCGGCGUGCCUAAUACAUGCAAGUCGAGCGAACAGACGAGGAGCUUGCUCCUUUGACGUUAGCGGCGGACGGGUGAGUAACACGUGGGUAACCUACCUAUAAGACUGGGAUAACUUCGGGAAACCGUAGCUAAUACCGGAUAAUAUUUCGAACCGCAUGGUUCGAUAGUGAAAGAUGGCUUUGCUAUCACUUAUAGAUGGACCUGCGCCGUAUUAGCUAGUUGGUAAGGUAACGGCUUACCAAGGCAACGAUACGUAGCCGACCUGAGAGGGUGAUCGGCCACACUGGAACUGAGACACGGUCCAGACUCCUACGGGAGGCAGCAGUAGGGAAUCUUCCGCAAUGGGCGAAAGCCUGACGGAGCAACGCCGCGUGAGUGAUGAAGGUCUUCGGAUCGUAAAACUCUGUUAUUAGGGAAGAACAAACGUGUAAGUAACUGUGCACGUCUUGACGGUACCUAAUCAGAAAGCCACGGCUAACUACGUG
rnacentral:rRNA from 1 species